rnacentral:lncRNA from 1 species
CCCCCUCAAUUUCCGAUAGCUAUCUAAGUGUACCAAAAUUUUUCUUCAGCCCUCAAAUAUAUUUUUAUUAGCUUUGUAGCUAUUUUAUUACUUUAAAUUAUAUACACAGGUGUGUAUGGUGAGUCAGCGCAGUCCACAAACGCCGCGGCUGCAUCCUAUCCACACACGUGGAAGCUAUUGCGGAAACCACGCUGGCCAUCUCUACUGGAUGGACGAAGAGCAUGCAGUACAGGUU